rnacentral:piRNA from 1 species
UGUUAGGACGUAGAUAUGCUGUGGUGUGU